UGGGGAAUUUUGGACAAUGGGGGAAACCCUGAUCCAGCCAUCCCGCGUGUGCGAUGAAGGCCUUCGGGUUGUAAAGCACUUUUGGCAGGAAAGAAACGUUGCGGGUUAAUACCCCGCGAAACUGACGGUACCUGCAGAAUAAGCACCGGCUAACUACGUGCCAGCAGCCGCGGUAAUACGUAGGGUGCAAGCGUUAAUCGGAAUUACUGGGCGUAAAGCGUGCGCAGGCGGUUCGGAAAGAAAGAUGUGAAAUCCCAGAGCUUAACUUUGGAACUGCAUUUUUAACUACCGGGCUAGAGUGUGUCAGAGGGAGGUGGAAUUCCGCGUGUAGCAGUGAAAUGCGUAGAUAUGCGGAGGAACACCGAUGGCGAAGGCAGCCUCCUGGGAUAACACUGACGCUCAUGCACGAAAGCGUGGGGAGCAAACAGGAUUAGAUACCCUGGUAGUCCACGCCCUAAACGAUGUCAACUAGCUGUUGGGGCCUUCGGGCCUUGGUAGCGCAGCUAACGCGUGAAGUUGACCGCCUGGGGAGUACGGUCGCAAGAUU
rnacentral:rRNA from 1 species